AGAAUCAACGCUGGCGGCGUGCCUAACACAUGCAAGUCGAACGCGAAAGUCCCGCAAGGGAUAAGUAGAGUGGCAAACGGGUGAGUAACACGUGGGUGACCUGCCUUCGAGUGGGGGAUAACGUCCCGAAAGGGACGCUAAUACCGCAUGACAUCCUGCUUUUUAAGAGGUGGAGAUCAAAGCCGGGGAUCGCAAGACCUGGCGCUUGAAGAGGGGCCCGCGCCUGAUUAGCUAGUUGGUGGGUAACGGCUCACCAAGGCUUCGAUCAGUA
rnacentral:rRNA from 1 species